rnacentral:rRNA from 1 species
UACAGAGGGGGCAAGCGUUGUUCGGAAUUACUGGGCGUAAAGGGCGCGUAGGCGGCCUGCUAAGUCGAACGUGAAAUCCCCAGGCUUAACCUGGGAACUGCAUCCGAUACUGGUUGGCUUGAAUCCGGGAGAGGGAUGCAGAAUUCCAGGUGUAGCGGUGAAAUGCGUAGAUAUCUGGAGGAAUACCGGUGGCGAAGGCGGCAUCCUGGACCGGCAUUGACGCUGAACAGCGAAAGCUAGGGGAGCAAACGGG